UACGUAGGGUGCGAGCGUUAAUCGGAAUUACUGGGCGUAAAGCGUGCGCAGGCGGUCCGCAAAGUCUGAUGUGAAAGCCCCGGGCUCAACCUGGGAACUGCAUUGGAAACUAACGGGCUCGAGUGUGGCAGAGGGGGGUGGAAUUCCACGUGUAGCGGUGGAAUGCGUAGAGAUCUCCAAGAACACCUAUUGCGAAGGCAGCCAGCUGGGACCAUAUUGACGCUGAGGCUCGAAAGCAUGGGGAGCAAACAGG
rnacentral:rRNA from 1 species